rnacentral:rRNA from 1 species
CAGCAGCCGCGGGAAUACGGAGGAUGCAAGCGUUAAUCGGAAUUACUGGGCGUAAAGCGCACGCAGGCGGUUUGUUAAGUCUGCUGUGAAAUCCCCGGGCUCAACCUGGGAAUGGCAGUGGAUACUGGCAAGCUAGAGUGUGUCAGAGGAUGGUGGAAUUCCCGGUGUAGCGGUGAAAUGCGUAGAGAUCGGGAGGAACAUCAGUGGCGAAGGCGGCCAUCUGGGACAACACUGACGCUGAGGCACGAAAGCGUGGGGAGCAAACAGGAUUAGAUACCCGCGUAGUCCCUGUCUCUUAUAC